UCAGUAGUAGUUCAGUGGAAGAAUUCUCACCUUCCACGGGGGAGACCUGGGUUUAAUUCCCAGCCAAUGCA
rnacentral:tRNA from 1 species